rnacentral:rRNA from 1 species
UACAGAGGGUGCAAGCGUUGUUCGGAAUUAUUGGGCGUAAAGGGCGCGUAGGCGGCCUGGCAAGUGGAAGGUGAAAUCCCUCGGCUUAACCGAGGAACUGCCUCCCAAACUGCUUGGCUUGAGACCAGGAGAGGUGAGUGGAAUUCCCAGUGUAGCGGUGAAAUGCGUAGAUAUUGGGAGGAACACCAGUGGCGAAGGCGGCUCACUGGACUGGUACUGACGCUGAGGCGCGAAAAGCGUGGGGAGCAAACGGGG